CCACUUCGAAUGAGGGGGUAGGAUAGU
rnacentral:piRNA from 1 species